rnacentral:rRNA from 1 species
GGUGUACGCUGGCGGCGUGCUUAAGACAUGCAAGUCGAACGGCAGUCUUCGGACUGUAGUGGCGCACGGGUGAGUAACGCGUAACUGACCUACCCCAAAGUCGCGGAUAACGAUUCGAAAGAAUCGCUAAUACGUGAUGUGCUGUCAGAUUGUGUUCUGCCAGUAAAGAUUGAUUGCUUUGGGAUGGGGUUGCGCUCCAUCAGCUAGUUGGUGGGGUAAAGGCCCACCAAGGCGACGACGGAUAGCCGGCCUGAGAGGGUGGCCGGCCACAGGGACACUGAGAACCGGGUCCCACUCCUACGGGAGGCAGCAGUUAGGAAUCUUCCACAAUGGGCGAAAGCCUGAUGGAGCGACGCCGCGUGAGGGAUGAAGGUCUUCGGAUCGUAAACCUCUGAAUCAGGGACGAAAGACACUUCGGUGGGAUGACGGUACCUGAGUAAUAGCACCGGCUAACUCCGUGCCAGCAGCCGCCGUAAUAC